GAUGAACGCUGGCGGCGUGCCUAAUACAUGCAAGUCGAGCGAAGCGGGGAUGGGUGAGUCAUACGUGGCUAACCUCCUAUAAGACUGGGAUAACUUCGGGAAACCGGAGCUCAAUCGGUUACUUAUACAUGGAUCCUCGCCGCAUUAGCUAGUUGGUAGGGUAACGGCUUACCAAGGCAACGAUGCGUAGCCGACCUGAGAGGGUGAUCGGCCACACUGGAACUGAGACACGGUCCAGACUCCUACGGGAGGCAGCAGUAGGGAAUCUUCGGCAAUGGGCGAAAGCCUGACGGAGGAACGCCGCGUGAGUGAAGAAGGUCUUCGGAUCGUAAAACGCUUUUAUUAGGGAAGCGGUACCUAAACAGAAAGCCACGGCUAACUACGUGCCAGCAGCCGCGGUAAUUC
rnacentral:rRNA from 1 species